CGGUCGCUAUGGUAACUCGUCCGGGUUUCUGAGGUUUCUGUCAACAGUGAGAGGAAUAGUGAAGAAAUGCCUUUCUCCAUUUUGCUCUAAUUCUCCCUUGGUCCCGGCACUACGAUUGUUGCAUCCCUCCACAUCUCCUAAGGUGCACCUUCGUCCCAGCACACGGAAGACUAGAUGACGUCCUUUGGGGAGUGCGCAUUCUGAGAAAACUUACAUGAAGCAUCUAUAACCGCGCCCAGCUUAAGAUAAGGCACACCUCGUUUCACCUCUUUGUGCUUCUGCACAGAAAAUCAGACCUUCUGUUGCAAGAUGGCCCUAAGGAUUUGACAUUGAUCACCAUCAUAGAAUUGGAACUUACAAAUAUUUUUCUCUUGGUAACACUCUGCAGAUGGUUAAGAGCCAGCACGUGGUUGCUGGGGAUUGAACUCAGGACACUGUAGCUAACCAUUGUCGGUAACUCCAGUUCCCGGAACUCCAGCACUGUCUCUGCCCUCCAUGGGCAGCCCACAUGCGAGUGAUGCACACAUACAUACAAGUAAAGCACCCGCAUAGACAGCAAAACUUUGAAGAAAGAUAAUUUGUUUCCAGCAAAUCUGGACUAUAAGAAUGUCUGACAAACAACUUAAAUCAAGAAAGAGAGUUUGUUCACCUCCUGACAGACAAGAGAUGGGGAGGUGCAGAAGAAAGAGAGAAGAACAGAGAGGAAGAGAGGGGAGGGAAAAAGGAGAGGAAAGCAGUCUGGGGCAAGAAAGAUCCAAGGACCCACUGUAGUGACUUACUUCCUUCAGCUGCAAAGUGGCUAUAAGUUUCAAGUGGUCCCUGAAAGAACACCUCAGCUGGACUCAACCCCUCAAAUCACAAGCCUUUUGGAAGACCAGUUCACAUCCAAACUGAACAGUACAUUUCCUAGAACACCAAAGUCUCAUGUGCGUCUCACAAGGUAAUAUUUGGUAUACCAAGGGUUCCCAAAGCCUUAUCAGUUCAAACAUUGUUGACAAUUUAGGUUCAAUUAAGAUCUGAGACUCAAGGCAAAUUUUUACUCUUAGGCUCUAUAAAAUAAAACAA
rnacentral:sRNA from 1 species